rnacentral:rRNA from 1 species
AUUGAACGCUGGCGGCAUGCUUUACACAUGCAAGUCGAACGGCAGCACGGGAGUAAUCCUGGUGGCGAGUGGCGAACGGGUGAGUAAUAUAUCGGAACGUGCCCAGUCGUGGGGGAUAACGCAGCGAAAGCUGUGCUAAUACCGCAUACGAUCUAAGGAUGAAAGCGGGGGAUCGCAAGACCUCGCGCGAUUGGAGCGGCCGAUAUCAGAUUAGCUAGUUGGUGGGGUAAAGGCCCACCAAGGCGACGAUCUGUAGCUGGUCUGAGAGGACGACCAGCCACACUGGAACUGAGACACGGUCCAGACUCCUACGGGAGGCAGCAGUGGGGAAUUUUGGACAAUGGGCGCAAGCCUGAUCCAGCAAUGCCGCGUGCAGGAUGAAGGCCUUCGGGUUGUAAACUGCUUUUGUACGGAACGAAACGGCCCUUUCUAAUACAGGGGGCUAAUGACGGUACCGUAAGAAUAAGCACCGGCUAACUACGUGCCAGCCGCCGCGUAAUAC